AUAUUAUAUAUGAUCGAAAAAAUGCGGAAGAGCUUCACUCUCCUACACACAGUAGCAACCGCAGGCGUCUUCUCGUCUGUCUCCUUCUGCUAUGGAUUCAUGUUCGGCAGGGAGUCUGCACGCAAGGAGCUCAGUGAUUUAAUCGAGAGCCUCCGCCGUGCUAAUUCUGAUCCUGCUUCGUCUUCUUCUCCAUCGCAACAUUCCUAAAAUGAAGGUUCAGGCUUUGCCGUUUAAUUUUCAAUUCUCAACUUUGGAAUUUCAAAUCACGUUUUUUAGUCUGAAUCAGUGUUUGCACGUGCCAAGAAUGGAGUAUCUAGUAAGCCGGGGUAAACAAGAAGCUUGUCCAAUACCAUAGCUUAAGAUAAGUAACAUCUCGGUCCUGUGCUCUCUGUAAAGGUCACUGAAAAGUGGAAACAUAGUCUUCUUCCGUUAGCUUUGUAUCAGAAUAAUUAAAUGUUUACAUGUUAAUUAAAUACGCUAAUUCUAUAUUAUGUGAUUUGCUGGGUAGAAAAAUAAUCUAAUGGUUGAUGGAUGCUACUUUUUUUUCCCAUUUUCAGCAAGACUGUGGCACAUGCUCACUAUCUGUAAACUAUGCCACUUAAAAUGGCGUAGCAGCUUUACUAUUCAUGCUGUUAGUGGAUUAUUCAUUAUCUUGUUAAGUUAUUUCAGUUUCUGUUGAUGUUACCAAGAAGUUAAAUAGAGAUUGAAAAAUGUACACGAGUGUUUAUCAUGAAUGUUAACCUGCCAUUUAAAUAUCGAACUCUCUCAUAAGCUGUAUAUGUAUAUUCACGUGCUUUUUCC